rnacentral:rRNA from 1 species
GACGAACGCUGGCGGCGUGCUUAACACAUGCAAGUCGAGCGAUGAAGCUCCUUCGGGAGUGGAUUAGCGGCGGACGGGUGAGUAACACGUGGGCAACCUGCCUUAUAGAGAGGAAUAGCCAUCCGAAAGGAUGAUUAAUACCUCAUAAUAUUGUAGCUUCGCAUGGAGCAACAAUCAAAGGAGCAAUCCACUAUAAGAUGGGCCCGCGGCGCAUUAGCUAGUUGGUGAAGUAACGGCUCACCAAGGCGACGAUGCGUAGCCGACCUGAGAGGGUGAUCGGCCACAUUGGGACUGAGACACGGCCCAGACUCCUACGGGAGGCAGCAGUGGGGAAUAUUGCACAAUGGGGGAAACCCUGAUGCAGCAACGCCGCGUGAGUGAUGACGGCCUUCGGGUUGUAAAGCUCUGUCUUCAGGGACGAUAAUGACGGUACCUGAGGAGGAAGCCACGGCUAACUACGUGCCAGCCGCCGCGGUAAAAC